rnacentral:rRNA from 1 species
AAAAACUCCGGUGGUAUACGAUGGAUCCGCGUCUGAUUAGCUUGUUGGCGGGGUAAAGGCCCACCAAGGCGACGAUCAGUAGCCGGCCUGAGAGGGUGAACGGCCACAUUGGGACUGAGACACGGCCCAAACUCCUACGGGAGGCAGCAGUGGGGAAUAUUGCACAAUGGGGGAAACCCUGAUGCAGCGACGCCGCGUGAGUGAAGAAGUAUUUCGGUACGUAAAGCUCUAUCAGCAGGGAAGAAAAUGACGGUACCUGACUAAGAAGCCCCGGCUAACUACGUGCCAGCAGCCGCGGUAAUACGUAGGGGGCAAGCGUUAUCCGGAUUUACUGGGUGUAAAGGGAGCGUAGACGGCAGCGCAAGUCUGGAGUGAAAUCCCAUGGCUUAACCAUGGAACUGCUUUGGAAACUGUGCAGCUAGAGUGCAGGAGAGGUAAGCGGAAUUCCUAGUGUAGCGGUGAAAUGCGUAGAUAUUAGGAGGAACACCAGUGGCGAAGGCGGCUUACUGGACUGUAACUGACGUUGAGGCUCGAAAGCGUGGGGAGCAAACAGGAUUAGAUACCCUGGUAGUCCACGCUGUAAACGAUGAUUACUAGGUGUUGGGGGACCAAGGUCCUUCG